rnacentral:rRNA from 1 species
GACGAACGCUGGCGGCGUGCUUAACACAUGCAAGUCGAACGGAAAGGCCCUGCUUUUGUGGGGUGCUCGAGUGGCGAACGGGUGAGUAACACGUGAGUAACCUGCCCUUGACUUUGGGAUAACUUCAGGAAACUGGGGCUAAUACCGGAUAGGAGCUCCUGCUGCAUGGUGGGGGUUGGAAAGUUUCGGCGGUUGGGGAUGGACUCGCGGCUUAUCAGCUUGUUGGUGGGGUAGUGGCUUACCAAGGCUUUGACGGGUAGCCGGCCUGAGAGGGUGACCGGCCACAUUGGGACUGAGAUACGGCCCAGACUCCUACGGGAGGCAGCAGUGGGGAAUAUUGCACAAUGGGCGGAAGCCUGAUGCAGCAACGCCGCGUGCGGGAUGACGGCCUUCGGGUUGUAAACCGCUUUCGCCCGUGACGAAGCGUGAGUGACGGUAAUGGGUAAAGAAGCACCGGCUAACUACGUGCCAGCAGCCGCGGUGAUACGUAGGGUGCGAGCGUUGUCCGGAUUUAUUGGGCGUAAAGGGCUCGUAGGUGGUUGAUCGCGUCGGAAGUGUAAUCUUGGGGCUUAACCCUGAGCGUGCUUUCGAUACGGGUUGACUUGAGGAAGGUAGGGGAGAAUGGAAUUCCUGGUGGAGCGGUGGAAUGCGCAGAUAUCAGGAGGAACACCAGUGGCGAAGGCGGUUCUCUGGGCCUUUCCUGACGCUGAGGAGCGAAAGCGUGGGGAGCGAACAGGCUUAGAUACCCUGGUAGUCCACGCUGUAAACGGUGGGUACUAGGUGUGGGGUCCAUUCCACGGGUUCCGUGCCGUAGCUAACGCUUUAAGUACCCCGCCUGGGGAGUACGGCCGCAAGGCUAAAACUCAAAGGAAUUGACGGGGCCCCGCACAAGCGGCGGAGCAUGCGGAUUAAUUCGAUGCAACGCGUAGAACCUUACCUGGGUUUGACAUGGAUCGGGAGUGCUCAGAGAUGGGUGUGCCUCUUUUGGGGUCGGUUCACAGGUGGUGCAUGGCUGUCGUCAGCUCGUGUCGUGAGAUGUUGGGUUAAGUCCCGCAACGAGCGCAACCCUUGUUCACUGUUGCCAGCACGUUAUGGUGGGGACUCAGUAGAGACCGCCGGGGUCAACUCGGAGGAAGGUGGGGGUGACGUCAAGUCAUCAUGCCCCUUAUGUCCAGGGCUUCACGCAUGCUACAAUGGCUGGUACAGAGAGUGGCGAGCCUGUGAGGGUGAGCGAAUCUCGGAAAGCCGGUCUCAGUUCGGAUUGGGGUCUGCAACUCGACCUCAUGAAGUCGGAGUCGCUAGUAAUCGCAGAUCAGCAACGCUGCGGUGAAUACGUUCCCGGG